UAGGAAUGAUAUUAUUAUGAUAUUCUGCAUCCAAAUGGCAAGAGAUGACACCAUUUUCUGAAUUUACUUCAGAUAAAUAUCCUGCAGUGGAAUCAGCCUUCCCAGGGACCUCCCUGGACUCUGAGAAGUGAUUAAAGGGACUGUGCGGCAGUCAUGGUGAUGCAAGCAGCUGUGGCCAUCGAACUGGUUCUAACAGACAGUAUGAGAUCUUCAUGAUUCUGGACCAUAAGGAUUCCAAAUAGGCUGUUCACUUAUGAGUAGGCCUGUAACACGGACGUGUGAGAAUAAACGCCAGAGAAAGAUUUUUGAGCAGCAGCUUGCUGAUGCAUGUGAUUGCCAGGCAUGGGGCUGGACCCCUGCCCAGGAGUGGCAAGGACAGGUACCCAGGCCACAUAUGACUGUCGUGCAGCUGAUGUACUUGGCUUGCUACCACCGGUGAGUGUGCUACGCACCACAAACAGAAA
ensembl:lincRNA